rnacentral:piRNA from 1 species
UGCCAGGUGACUCUCACUUUUUGGGUUGA